AGAUCCAUCAACAACGGAGUGGUGCAAUCCCAGAAUUCUUCAUUCGCCUUUACAGUGAGCUCCUGUAAAGCUUCUCAAGGUGAUGAGGUUUUCCCAUGUUCGGAGAGUCCAGAAAAAGACAGUCCAAUUCCACCUGAUUUAAAAACCUCAAGCUUCAGAUUACAAGAGCAGUCCCAUGAAUUGGUCUGCAAAUCAUCAAAAGAAGACAAUGGCUGGGAUUGGGAGAUGGAUGUACCUAAUUUCACUUUCGGUAUGCGAAGUGGAAUGACACAACGUGUGAAAGCACCUGGUCGAUGGUCAGACAGAUCAAAAGUCGAGGCCACCAGCGUAGAUGAAGACGAAGAUGAUGAU
rnacentral:lncRNA from 1 species